rnacentral:rRNA from 1 species
CGUAACACGUGAGCAACAUUCCGAUUUCUGGGGGAUAGCCGGCCCAACGGCCGGGUAAUACCGCAUACGCUCAUUGAGAGGAGUCUCUCGAUGAGGAAACCUCCGGGGGAAAUCGAGUGGCUCGCGGCCUAUCAGCUAGUUGGCGGGGUAAUGGCCCACCAAGGCAAUGACGGGUAGCUGGUCUGAGAGGAUGGCCAGCCACAUUGGGACUGAGAAACGGCCCAG